rnacentral:rRNA from 1 species
GACGAACGCUGGCGGCGUGCUUAACACAUGCAAGUCGAACGGAAAGGCCCUGCUUUUGUGGGGUGCUCGAGUGGCGAACGGGUGAGUAACACGUGAGUAACCUGCCCUUGACUUUGUGAUAACUUCGGGAAACUGGGGCUAAUACCGGAUAGGAGCUCCUGCUGCAUGGUGGGGGUUGGAAAGUUUCGGCGGUUGGGGAUGGACUCGCGGCUUAUCAGCUUGUUUGUGGGGUAGUGGCUUACCAAGGCUUUGACGGGUAGCCGGCAUGAGAGGGUGACCGGCCACAUUGGGACUGAGAUACGGACCAGACUCCUACGGGAGGCAGCAGUGGGGAAUAUUGCACAAUGGGCGGAAGCCUGAUGCAGCAACGCCGCGUGCGGGAUGACGGCCUUCGGGUUGUAAACAGCUUUCGCCUGUGACGAGGCGUGAGUGACGGUAAUGGGUAAAGAAGCACCGGCUAACUACGUG